rnacentral:lncRNA from 1 species
GGCUGAACAGCGAAAUUUCCCAGCAGCCAAGGCAGAAGUGUGUGGCAGACGUACGCGACCGCUUUGCUAACGCUGUUUGUGGCGCGGAUAGUGGCGGAUAUUUAGUUGAAGAAGAACAGAUAAAGUGGAAAAUUUAACACAAAAGCAUUGAAGAGGAAAAUUUUAGCUUUUAAGACUUAACUUUAAUGUGAGAAUGUUGCGCCGAUAAAAGUUGAAAAUAUCUCAAAUGCGCGAAUAAUCAAAAGUAAGAGCUAUGGAAACAAAUGUGAGCAGACAUUGUUAAGCGCAAAGGUACAUAACUGAAAAUUGAUUCGGAGUCGUGAAAAUUUCAAAUGUGCCAAUUCAGUGAAAUUUGUAGUGAAAAAUUGACAGAAUUGUUGGUCGUUCGCUGUUGUAACGCAGAGUGGGUGUGAUAAGCGUGUGCAGCAACAACAAAACACAGUGAACGAUUGCAACAAAAGCGAAGCACUUUAUUUCACAAAAAAGUAGUGCUUACCACGAGAUGAAAGUAAGAUUCGAGUAGUGUGCAACACGUACCAAUCAAAAAUUGAGCGCGCGUCUCCCACAAGACACCGUAGCAAACGUAGCGAGCGUGCCAAGAACCAACGCGAAUGUGCAUAAAAUUGCAUGAAAAACAACAGAGCAACAACAAUAGCAUAACAGCUGUUGUGAAAGUGACAACAAAGUGACAAAGUGCAGUGUAUGUAGUGGAAAAAACUCGGCGAGGGUUUAAGAAAACAGAAGAAAAAAUCGCGAGUGUUGCUCGCAGUAAAGUGCAACUAAUUGCUAUUUGUGUUAGUGUAAGCGCCUGUGUGCAUGCCUGCCUGUCACAUUUUGUGUGCGUUGAACUGUUGCAAGUGCAUUAUCUUUCUUUACGACUGUCCGCGUGUCUCACA